rnacentral:rRNA from 1 species
UACGUAGGGGGCAAGCGUUGUCCGGAUUCAUUGGGCGUAAAGAGCGUGUAGGCGGCCAGGUAGGUCGGUUGUGAAAACUGGAGGCUCAACCUUCAGAGGUCGACCGAAACCAUCUGGCUAGAGUCCGGGAGAGGAGAGUGGAAUUCCUGGUGUAGCGGUGAAAUGCGCAGAUAUCAGGAAGAACACCCGUGGCGAAAGCGGCUCUCUGGAACGGUACUGGACGCUGAGACGCGAAAGCGUGGGGAGCGAACAGG